AGAAAAUGGACUUCAACUGACCUUAGUGUUCAAGUCAGUCUUAGUGAUUCGUUUUUUACAGUGUACAAACACAAGUGGCGAGUUUCUGGAUCCUACAUUACAUAGUGGAUGUUGCAAUUAGAGUGUAUGGGAGGAAUAUGUGCAGAAUAGAGGGAGUAAUGGAAGAGAGGGAAAGGAGAAGAAGGAAGUGGGGAUUGGGGCUAAAAGGGACAGCUAUAGGAGAUGGUCGUGUGGAGAAACUGAAGAGUUGUAUAAUUUUACCGCGGUCCAGAUUGAAGCUAUGGAUAAUAAGGGCUACAACAAUGGUUCUAUUGUGGACUUGCUUAGUACAAUUGACGACAUUAGGGGAACUUUUGGGGCCUAGUGCUUUCAAAGGAUGGCCUUGUUGCUUUUCUCAGGAGUCUGCUUCAUCAUUUCUUGUUAAAUCACUUCCACCAAAAAGGGUUUACCAGAAUAAUGGUUAUCUCAUGGUUUCAUGUAAUGGAGGUCUUAAUCAAAUGCGAGCAGCCAUAUGUGAUAUGGUUGCUAUAGCAAGAUAUUUGAAUGUGACU
rnacentral:misc_RNA from 1 species